rnacentral:rRNA from 1 species
GGAAUCUUCCACAAUGGGCGCAAGCCUGAUGGAGCAACGCCGCGUGUGUGAUGAAGGCUUUCGGUCGUAAAGCACUGUUGUAUGGGAAGAAAUGCUAGAAUAGGGAAUGAUUCUAGUUCGACGGUACCAUACCAGAAAGGGACGGCUAAAUACGUGCCAG